GUGGGGAAUAUUGGACAAUGGGCGAAAGCCUGAUCCAGCCAUGCCGCGUGUGUGAAGAAGGUCUUCGGAUUGUAAAGCACUUUAAGUUGGGAGGAAGGGCAGUAAGUUAAUACCUUGCUGUUUUGACGUUACCGACAGAAUAAGCACCGGCUAACUUCGUGCCAGCAGCCGCGGUAAUACGAAGGGUGCAAGCGUUAAUCGGAAUUACUGGGCGUAAAGCGCGCGUAGGUGGUUUUGUAAGUUGGAGGUGAAAUCCCCGGGCUCAACCUGGGAACUGCCUCCAAAACUGCAUGACUAGAGUACGGUAGAGGGUAGUGGAAUUUCCUGUGUAGCGGUGAAAUGCGUAGAUAUAGGAAGGAACACCAGUGGCGAAGGCGACUACCUGGAAUGAUACUGACACUGAGGUGCGAAAGCGUGGGGAGCAAACAGGAUUAGAAACCCUAGUAGUCC
rnacentral:rRNA from 1 species